rnacentral:rRNA from 1 species
UGGGGAAUAUUGCACAAUGGGCGCAAGCCUGAUGCAGCCAUGCCGCGUGUAUGAAGAAGGCCUUCGGGUUGUAAAGUACUUUCAGCGGGGAGGAAGGUGUUGAGGUUAAUAACCUCAGCAAUUGACGUUACCCGCAGAAGAAGCACCGGCUAACUCCGUGGCAGCAGCCGCGGUAAUACGGAGGGUGCAAGCGUUAAUCGGAAUUACUGGGCGUAAAGCGCACGCAGGCGGUCUGUCAAGUCGGAUGUGAAAUCCCCGGGCUCAACCUGGGAACUGCAUUCGAAACUGGCAGGCUAGAGUCUUGUAGAGGGGGGUAGAAUUCCAGGUGUAGCGGUGAAAUGCGUAGAGAUCUGGAGGAAUACCGGUGGCGAAGGCGGCCCCCUGGACAAAGACUGACGCUCAGGUGCGAAAGCGUGGGGAGCAAACA